GAUGAACGCUAGCUACAGGCUUAACACAUGCAAGUCGAGGGGAAACGAUAUUGGAAGCUUGCUUCCGAUAGGCGUCGACCGGCGCACGGGUGAGUAACGCGUAUCCAACCUGCCCAUCACUUGGGGAUAACCUUGCGAAAGUAAGACUAAUACCCAAUGACGUCUCUAGAAGACAUCUGAAGGAGAUUAAAGAUUUAUCGGUGAUGGAUGGGGAUGCGUCUGAUUAGCUUGUUGGCGGGGUAACGGCCCACCAAGGCGACGAUCAGUAGGGGUUCUGAGAGGAAGGUCCCCCCACAUUGGAACUGAGACACGGUCCAAACUCCUACGGGAGGCAGCAGUGAGGAAUAUUGGUCAAUGGGGCGAGAGCCUGAACCAGCCAAGUAGCGUGCAGGAUGACGGCCCUAUGGGUUGUAAACUGCUUUUAUAAGGGAAUAAAGUGGGAGUCGUGACUCUUUUUGCAUGUACCUUAUGAAUAAGGACCGGCUAAUUCCGUGCCAGCAGCCG
rnacentral:rRNA from 1 species